ensembl:snRNA U6 U6 spliceosomal RNA
GUGCUUGCUUUGGCAGCACAUAUACUAAAAUUGGAAUAAAACAGAGAUUAGCACAGCCCCUGUGUUAGGAGCCACAGCAAAAAUAUUGAUACAGGCACCUUUG